rnacentral:lncRNA from 1 species
CCAUGUCACUAUUAACCCUUCAAGGUUGUAUAUUGCUGGCUAGGUGCGACAGCUCAUGCCUGCUAUCCCAGCACUUUGGGAGCCUGAGGCGGGAGGAUCACUUGAGCCCAGGAGGUUGAGGCUGCAGUGAGCAAUGGUUGUGCCAUACACUCCAGCCUGGGUGAUACAGCCAGACCCUGCCUCUGGAAAAAAAAGAAAGCUUACUGAGCUUUCCUAAAGCAGAUGAAAAGAAGAGUAUAUAGUAUUGUGUCUGGCAUAAGAAAAGGAGAACUUGGUGAGGUGAAAUAGCACCAGCCCAGAGUCUUGAAGAAGCCAGGGGCCCUGGAGAACAGAUGGAAGGUGACCUUUCCCUGACAGGUGUGCUACUACGGCACCAACCACGCGGGGCCCUGGUGGUCUGGGUCAGCCUCACUUUGUGGGACAAUGGCUUUUGAGUCUUCAGUGACAAGCUAGAAAAGGAAUCUCCUGACACUGUGGUCAUGGAGCUUGAUUUCUAAGGAGAGAGUCAGCACGUGGAAGCAAAGGCACCGAGAGUCCAAGUAAAAGUCCCAAAUCCAUAAAAUGCACCACACAGGUCAAAACACAGGACACGGCCGGGCGCGGGGGCUCACGCCUGUAAUCCCAGCACUUUGGGAGGCCGAGGCAGGUGGCUCACCUGAGGUCAGGAAUUCGAGACCAGCCUGCUCAACAUGGAGAAACCCCAUCUCUACUAAAAACACUAAUUAGCCAGGGAAGAAUGUUCUGAAGAGGGACAGAGGUCAAGGUGAUAAGGCUGUUGCUUUAGAAAGGAAGGUGUUUCCUAUGCUUUUGCCUUUACAUUCUG